AGAGUUUUAUUCCNGGGCUCAGAACGAACGCUGGCGGCAGGCUUAACACAUGCAAGUCGAACGCCCCCNCAAGGGGAGUGGCAGACGGGUGAGUAACGCGUGGGAACAUACCCUUUCNUGCGGAAUAGCUCCGGGAAACUGGAAUUAAUACCGCAUACGCCCUACGGGGGAAAGAUUUAUCGGGGAAGGAUUGGCCCGCGUUGGAUUAGCUAGUUGGUGGGGUAAAGGCCUACCAAGGCGACGAUCCAUAGCUGGUCUGAGAGGAUGAUCAGCCACAUUGGGACUGAGACACGGCCCAAACUCCUACGGGAGGCAGCAGUGGGGAAUNUUGGACAAUGGGAAAAAGCCUGAUCCAGCCAUGCCGCGUGAGUGAUGAAGUCCUCCNNGUGUAGANGAAUUUCNCCCCCUUUC
rnacentral:rRNA from 1 species